rnacentral:snoRNA from 1 species
CGGCGAUGAGGAAAGAAACCGUGUGCCAAAGGCGAAUGCGCCGGUGUCGGUAACACAAAUCCUCUAAGAAGUUCUGAGCUC